rnacentral:ncRNA from 1 species
GGUCAUGAGCACCAGCGCGUCCUGCGACGCACAGCCCCGGCUUGCUGGUCGGCAACCCUCCCUCGCGGCGGGGUGCUCCGGGUGACGACCCGGCCCGCGUCGACCGGCGUGGGCAAGCGCGA